UCGGGAAUAAUUUCUGCAUACCGUACGGCAAGAAGUGCUUCAGAUUAACGAUUGGUGUGUGUGUGUGUUGCACAAUCGAACUCUAUUGCUUAUUGUUGUUAAAAAAUAUUUGUAGUUGUAUAAAACUUUGUGAUACGACGAUAUGCCAACUAUGCGGAAGAGCUGAAACAUCUGCUUUGAAAGCUUUCAUUAUUGUUCAACGUGGGGCCUACUCCGAUUUUGUCGAAGCUGCCAAAGGUUUGGCCGGACGGUUCUCAGAAUUCAAAGACUGAGCUAAAGGAAGUACAGAAAGCAAACGUCAUACUGUGCCAGCUAUGAUUAAUUGUCUCCAGGGCCGAAGUCUAAGAAACUUGUUUACAAAUUGUGCCUCGUAUCGACCUUCAUCGCCCCGACUAACUUAUCGUCAGCCAAUGGUUGAACAGUAUUGAGCUCACGCCCCCAGUUUGAGCCAAUCGUUAAGCUCGAAUUUUUGUUCCUGAAAUAGAUCUCCGUGUUCGACCACGCUGCAGAAACUAGCGGAAACUCGGUCAGCGGAGUCGUGUGUUGAGGAUCAGGACAAUCGCUGUGUUUGCUGGAGACCACAACGUAGAUCUAGAUCUAGACCUGAACUCACUCUCAACCCGCCACUGAUGUAAGUCAGAGGUCAGUUUUCCAUCUGGUGUAACAAUACGGCUUCUGUGUUAACUAACCUGGUCUUAUCUCGACUGAGUGUUGUGACCGGAAUCGCCAAGCCAAGGCCUACGUGUGGAUGUGGUUGUUUUUGAGGCAACAAAGCAACACCCGCCAAGUCCGCUGCCCCACAAACAGAUUGUUGACAGUUGAGAGGGAGGGUGAGACUCACCAAACGCAGAGGUAGCUCAUACGUCAUCGUGAAGUGUCCCGUCUUGCUGGUCUCUCAUCCGUGACGGCCGUAACAAAUCUUCUGUUGUGUCGUCCGCUUUCACAGAAAGCACCCGGAUACAGCGAGGACAGAACGGAUGUCUUGUUAACCAGGAUAUAAUAUAAACUUGCACUCGUAGGUGUCGAUACCUAUCCUACCUCCCGGUUCUCGUGCAGCUCGGCUCAACGGAAACCCCAAGUGGUCAGAUGCUACGAGGUCGUGUGACGGACGCACGAAGCCACCUCCAACAUUCCGAAGUCCUGGCCCGAAGAGAGCGGCUGGAGACCGAGAAAGUCAUCAACAAAGACGCCCUUCGACUACUCAGCACGGAGCGUGAGCUCAUCUUGUUGACCAUCAUCAGCGACUUUUUCAUAGACCUAUAACCUCCCAGUUCUCUGGCGGCCGAAAAGCGUGUUGAUUCUGUGUGCUGUCGGUUUAUCGUUUGUUUCUCUUCUCGAAGAGACUGUUCAGUUUUUUCUUUUGCUGUUUGCAAGUUCAGUUUAUGAUUCCUUUUGUUUUGGAGUAGAUGUUUAUUGAGCACAGUCUGUGAUUUAAAAAGAAGUAUAAUUAUACGAGUGGAAAUAAAGAAACACAUCGAUUCUUAGAACAAAACUUGGUACGUCUUAAUUUGUAUACACCGCG